ACGAAAGAAAGCGAACAUUUGAGUUGCGAAAGGAUGGACUUCCUGAUGCUGGGUAACCGACACUUCAAAGAGGGAAAAUUUGAACUUGCCAAGGCAAAAUAUGAAAAGGUGCUUCGGGAGUUCAAUCAUGCUUUGCUGGGCCGCCACA